CUUCGGUUGGACGAGUAAAGUGGCGAACGGGUGAGUAACACGUGGAUAAUCUACCCUUAUGUUCUGGGAUAAUUCUCUGAAAGGAUUGUAAUACCGGAUAACACCUCGUGAAGGCAUCUUCGUGAGGUCAAAGUCGGGGCAACCUGGCGCGUAGGGAUGAGUCCGCGCUCCAUUAGCUUGUUGGUAGGGUAAAAGCCUACCAAGGCGACGAUGGAUAGCCGGCCUGAGAGGGUGAACGGCCACACUGGGACUGAGAUACGGCCCAGACUCCUACGGGAGGCAGCAGUAGGGAAUAUUGCGCAAUGGACGCAAGUCUGACGCAGCAACGCCGCGUGGGUGAUGAAGCUUUUCGGAGUGUAAAACCCUGUCAGUGGGGAAGAAACGUAUAGGGAGUAACUGCCCUUUACCUGACGGUACCCGCAGAGGAAGUCCCGGCUAACUCCGUGCCAGCAGCCGCGGUAAUACGGGGGGGACUAGCGUUGUUCGGAUUUACUGGGCGUAAAGGGCGUGUAGGCGGGCUUAUAAGUCGGAUGUGAAAACUGGCGGCUCAACUGUCAGCCUGCAUCCGAUACUGCAAGUCUUGAGUACGGGAGAGGAGAGCGGAAUUCCAGGUGUAGCGGUGAAAUGCGUAGAUAUCUGGAAGAACACCCGUAGCGAAGGCGGCUCUCUGGCCCGAUACUGACGCUAAGGCGCGAAGGCUUGGGUAGCAAACAGGAUUAGAUACCCUGGUAGUCCAAGCGGUAAACGAUGGGCACUAGGUGUCGGGGGUAUCGAUCCCCUCGGUGCCGCAGCUAACGCAUUAAGUGCCCCGCCUGGGGAGUACGAUCGCAAGAUUGAAACUCAAAGGAAUUGACGGG
rnacentral:rRNA from 1 species